rfam:Bacillus pumilus SAFR-032, complete genome.
CAUAGUGUAUUUGGUGCUCUUUUAAAUCCUAAAUUGCAAUAAUUUCCGAUUCAUGUUACAAUAAGAAUAAUUAUUUUUGUUCGGCGUAAAGGAUAGCAUGAAGAAAGACUUUUCGUCUUGAGGAUACUUUGGGCAAGGAUAGUAUAAUACAUUGUGUGAUAACGCACUAGGAGGCAACAAACAUGGAACAAGGUACAGUAAAAUGGUUUAACGCAGAAAAAGGUUUUGGAUUUAUCGAACGUGAAGAAGGCGACGAUGUAUUCGUACAUUUCUCAGCUAUCCAAGGCGACGGAUUCAAAUCUUUAGACGAAGGUCAAAAAGUAUCAUUUGACGUAGAGCAAGGUUCUCGUGGAGCUCAAGCUGCUAACGUUCAAAAAAUUGCUUAAUCUUCAUUCUAUCAAAACAGGUUCUCUGUAGAGAGCCUGUUUUUU